GUCCACGCCAAUCGCGACGAGGCAGGGGCGGUGCCUUGGGCUCUCCGCAAUAAAACUUUUUGAUGUUCACGUUGCUAAUUGCUGAAGUCCUCUUUUAGGAUUGGCUACCCUUUCAUAUCCAUAAGAUAAUUAAAACAAAGAGGGAUUUUUUUAAACUUUUUUUUUAAUCAGCCAGAGGUUAAUGCAAGAGCAUAUGCUUUAGUAUUAAAAAAAAUUAAAAAAAAAAAGCCAAAAACUCUUUAAAAUCCUCUAAAAUAACUGGAUCUUCUCAAGUCAGGGGACACCAAGACCCCCAAAUGGAUUUCCUCCAGCUUUCGGAAAGUUUAAAAACCCGGCACCUCGUUCCCCCCCGAAUCCGUGGUGUGGCCGCUAUCGGUUUUCUGCCAGUUUAACUAGCCUGUUUGGAACAAGAUCACAGCAGUGAAAGCAGCUAAUACCAGUCCUGGGCUGGCUUGGCUCCGAAACAGGCGAGGACUUGAAUUUGGUGUGUAUUAGAAGCCAGCACAAUAUAGUUUUGUGCGGACAAGGGUGUCAACAGGAGCGUGCGAGCCAUAAAUGCGAGAGAGCCAGCGAGAGAGGCUGAAACAGACAAAGGAACCCCGAGCCCAAGUUCUGCCAAGGCUCAGAGGGAAACUCGAUGUCGCUGGGGAGAUUCCUGGAGGGCAGACUUGGGAUCUCUUGUGACCGCAUAACGUCAUUACUGAGGAGCUGCAGAGCUUUCAGAGAAUAUGCAGUUUUAAGCUCCACUCUUGUCGCUGUGAAGCAUUACUUCAUAUCUGUUAUUGUUCGGGUAUCCACCUUCUCCCACCCAAACCAUGGUUACAAGAAAUCUGGAGGAAGAUUGCCAUCUUGGAUGCAUCUGAAUCAGGUCUUUCUCUGGAGGUGGAUAGCAUUCUUUUCGAGACCUUGCCUCGGCCACUAUCACAGAGAUUUCCAGGCAGUUUGGUACUCAGGAGGCCCUCUACUCAAGAAAAGGGAAAACAAAAGAUGCUGAGGCUGUCAGGAACCCAGAUGCAAGCUCUGUAGUGAUGAUGUGGCUUCAAGCAAGCACCAGCUGCCAUGAGGGUAAGCUUGACUUGAUCCUGCAACUAGAGAAAGAACUUGUUGUUUCCCACACCCAACUGGAUUCACAUCACAUUACCUCAAGAAGGCAAGCCAAGAGAAGGACUGCCAGAAAUGGUCUCCUCUUUUAAACUUUCCCUGGAGAACUCAGCUCUCCCAGCUCAGCAACCAGAAGACUCGGCUAUUAUUCUUACAGGGACUGGAAGUCAGCCCCUAAAGUUUUCAUAUGGUGGCCGGGAGCUGGCUGAAAAUAUCGAUGCAUGCUCUAUGGGACACAGGAAAGGGCCCCAUUCAAUGAGCAUGAGGGAAAACCUGAGUUUAAAAAAUGAGCAUUCUUAGUAAAUUGAAGCAUCUUUUCAUAUGAUUUUCAAUUAUUUGGAUUUCUUCUUUUAUUAAUAUUCUUUGACCAUUUAUCUACUCCAGAGUAGCUCUUGUUGUUAUAUUUGUUAUCUAUUCCAGAGUAGCUCUUGGUGUUAAUUCUCUAUAUUUCAUGGACAGACAAGUUUUAUCAGAAAUAUUGAAAGCAAAUAUUUUCCCUUACUCAUUUGAUCAUUUCUUUUCUUAUUUAAAAAAUUAUAUUGAUUUGGGAUGGAGGGAAAAAAGAAUGAACCAUAGAUUUUCAGAUAUAGCUAAUGGGAGAAUUUGUUUCUCUUGGAAAAGCAUAUUUAUUAUAAUUUCUUACAUAUUUCUAAUAAGUCAUGUAUUACAUAUUAUGUUACAUAUCAUUUUAUGCUAAAUAAUAAAAAUAAAUGGCAACUCA
ensembl:lncRNA